rfam:Musca domestica strain aabys unplaced genomic scaffold Scaffold18, whole genome shotgun sequence.
GUCAGGAUGGCCGAGCGGUCUAAGGCGCCAGACUCAAGUGUGAAAACUUGUUCUGCUCAUACAGAAUUUGUACGAUGAGCGUUCUGGUCCUCUCUGAGGGCGUGGGUUCAAAUCCCACUUCUGACA